CCUAGGGGGGCAGCAGUGGGGAAUAUUGGACAAUGGGCGAAAGCCUGAUCCAGCCAUGCCGCGUGUGUGAAGAAGGCCUUCGGGUUGUAAAGCACUUUCAGUGGGGAAGAAAGCCUUGGGGCUAAUACCCUCGAGGAAGGACAUCACCCACAGAAGAAGCACCGGCUAACUCCGUGCCAGCAGCCGCGGUAAUACGGAGGGUGCGAGCGUUAAUCGGAAUUACUGGGCGUAAAGCGCGCGUAGGCGGUCUGAUAAGCCGGUUGUGAAAGCCCCGGGCUCAACCUGGGAACGGCAUCCGGAACUGUCAGGCUAGAGUGCAGGAGAGGAAGGUAGAAUUCCCGGUGUAGCGGUGAAAUGCGUAGAGAUCGGGAGGAAUACCAGUGGCGAAGGCGGCCUUCUGGACUGACACUGACGCUGAGGUGCGAAAGCGUGGGUAGCAAACAGGAUUAGCUACCCGGGUAGUC
rnacentral:rRNA from 1 species